AGAGACAGCAGCCGCCACGGUAAUACGGAGGGUGCAAGCGUUAAUCGGAAUUACUGGGCGUAAAGCGCACGCAGGCGGUCUGACAAGUCAGAUGUGAAAUCCCCGGGCUUAACCUGGGAACUGCAUUUGAAACUGUCAGGCUGGAGUCUUGUAGAGGGGGGUGGAAUUCCAGGUGUAGCGGUGAAAUGCGUAGAGAUCUGGAGGAAUACCGGUGGCGAAGGCGGCCCCCUGGACAAAGACUGACGCUCAGGUGCGAAAGCGUGGGGAGCAAACAGGAUUAGAUACCCCUGUAGUCCCUGUCUCUUAUAC
rnacentral:rRNA from 1 species